rnacentral:rRNA from 1 species
AAGGAAUAUUGCUCAAUGGGAGAAAUCCUGAAGCAGCAACGCCGCGUGGAGGAUGAAGGGUCUAUGACUUGUAAACUCCUGUAAAGAAGGAAAAAAUUCCCAUUAGAUGGGAGAUGAUGGUACUUCUGGAGUAAGCCCCGGCUAACUACGUGCCAGCAGCCGCGGUAAUACGUAGGGGGCAAGCGUUGUCCGGAUUUACUGGGUGUAAAGGGUGCUCAGGCGGAUUUGUAAGUCAGAGGUGAAAUCUUACAGCUUAACUGUGAAACUGCCUUUGAUACUGCAAGCCUAGAGUAUGGAAGAGAAUGAUGGAAUAUCUGGUGUAGCAGUGAAAUGCGUAGAUAUCAGAUAGAACACCAAUGGCGAAGGCAGUCACUUGGUCCAUUACUGACGCUAAAGCACGAAAGCGUGGGUAGCAAACA